CAGUAGCCGCGGGAAUACAGAGGGUGCAAGCGUUAAUCGGAAUUACUGGGCGUAAAGCGCGCGUAGGUGGUUUGUUAAGUUGGAUGUGAAAGCCCCGGGCUCAACCUGGGAACUGCAUCCAAAACUGGCAAGCUAGAGUACGGUAGAGGGUGGUGGAAUUUCCUGUGUAGCGGUGAAAUGCGUAGAUAUAGGAAGGAACACCAGUGGCGAAGGCGACCACCUGGACUGAUACUGACACUGAGGUGCGAAAGCGUGGGGAGCAAACAGGAUUAGAUACCCCGGUAGUCCCUGUCUCUUAUAA
rnacentral:rRNA from 1 species